GCCGAAAUAGCUCAGUUGGUAGAGCACAAGACUCCUAAUCUCAGGGUCGUGGGUUUGAGCCCCACAUUGGGCA